GAGUCGUAACAAGGUUUCCGUAGGUGAACCUGCGGAAGGAUCAUUAUAGUGGGAAAAAUCCAAUUUAUUUUUAAUAGAAGUGAGAAAAUAUUAUGAGCUAUCAAAAAUAAUAUCAAAA
rnacentral:misc_RNA from 1 species